rnacentral:rRNA from 1 species
AAACCAGGUGAUCUACCCAUGUCCAGGGUGAAGUUCAGGUAACACUGAAUGGAGGCCCGAACCCACGCACGUUGAAAAGUGCGGGGAUGAGGUGUGGGUAGGGGUGAAAUGCCAAUCGAACCUGGAGAUAGCUGGUUCUCUCCGAAAUAGCUUUAGGGCUAGCCUCAAGGUAAGAGUCUUGGAGGUAGAGCACUGAUUGGACUAGGGGCCCCUACCGGGUUACCGAAUUCAGUCAAACUCCGAAUGCCAAAGACUUAUCCUUGGGAGUCAGACUGCGAGUGAUAAGAUCCGUAGUCGAAAGGGAAACAGCCCAGACCGCCAGC